rnacentral:pre_miRNA from 1 species
AGCCUUUUACACCCGUGCUGAGAUUUCGUCAUACACCAGACCACAAGGGCUGAUGAGACUUCCAAGAUAGGUGAAGCA